rnacentral:lncRNA from 1 species
CCUGGUCCAGGAAGACCUUGUGCACGGGUGUGUGUGUUGAGGGUUGGCGUCCGUGUCCAGAUCUACAGACGCCAAGAAGGAAGUAAUUCCCCAAACCUUAGAUCGCCUCUUCUUCUUCUUCUAAUCUUGCUGUUGGACCCGACGAAGCAAACCCUAGCCUCCUCCUGGAGUAGGCAGCAAUCAUGGCAGACCACCCCAGGCCUCCUCCCUGUGUGUUGCUGGAACGCGUGGUGCGUUUCGAGGAAGCAGCAGGGUUAACCAGCGGUGGCGCCAGCAGAGACCCAGAUGUUGCGGCCAUAAUCGAGGUCGGCGGAUGGAGCUGGAGCACAGUGCAAAUGAUGGGUUCCGUGGAGGAGAUGGAGCGGCUGAUGGCGCCGUCCGUGAAACCCGUCGCCUUCCUCGGCGACCCACCUCAAGUAAGCAGCCUGCACAUGCUGCUGCCGCCGCCGGCGAGCCUGGAUCUGCUUGGGAUCGGCGAGAUCUCCAGCACCCACAAGGGCAUCGUCGUUAUCUACGCCGAUAAAUGCUACCUCCUCUAUGAUGCCUCCAACAACCACCUCACCGCUAUCCCCCCAAUUCCCGAUUCGGUGACCUCUGCCCCCAUCUUCCUUCCCCUCGGUCGCGGCGCUGUCCUCGUCUCUGCCGCCGGCGCCGAUGAUGAUGAUUACAUCUUCGCCGACAUCGUCACCUCCCCCUCCACUAGAGGGAUCAACCCCGCGCUCCCCAAAGCCACCAUCUUCGCGAGGGUGAAGAACGGCGGCGAGUGGAUCCAGUCAUCGAUUCCUCCCCUCCCUCUCCCUCCACAUCUCUGUGGCCCGACCUACUUCUUCCACAUCGACACGGCCUUCUCCUUCGCCGGCACCAUCUUCUGGGUUGAUCUCCUCAAGGGCAUCUUGAUUUGCGACGACAUCUUGUCAUCACCGCAAGGCCCCAGGCUAGCGUUCGUCCCGUUGCCCCACUGCAUCGACGCCCACGACAAACCCCACCAUUGCUUCAGCCCAAAUGAACACCGUUCCAUCGGCCGCGUCUCUGGUGCCAUCAAGUUCCUCGCCUUGAUCGGCUACUGCGAAGCUUCUUGUCCCGAGAACGAGGUGAAGCUCAAGACAUGGUCACUGUCCCCAGAUUUCAAGCACUGGAAAGAGGAAACCACCUUGACUGUCGGAGACAUCUGGGCGAGCGAGAGCUUCAACCAGAUGGGGUUGCCACAUGUUCUGCCCUUCUCCCCUGUCCUCAGCGUCAACGAAGAUGGCAUCAUGUAUGCCGUUCUGAAUGAUGUCAAGAAGGAACCAAUACCGCAACUCAAUGAGUUCGGGGACAGUCUUGGGAUGCAGCUGGUUCCUAAAGCAAAUUAUAUGAUCCGCUUCGACAUGCUGCAAAACAAGGUCCUGUCCUCCACCAAGAUUUCUAAAAAGGCCACUUCGCUGUGGCUUACAAAUACCUUCCUUGCUACCGACUUCAGUGCAUACCUACAAGACCGCCAGAAUGCUGAAGCAGCAGGCAAGGUUGGAGCAAGCGCCAAGGGCAAGCGUAAGCGGAUGAGCAGCAGGCAAGCUGGUAGGAGCAAGUGCCAAGGGCAAGCGUAAGCGGAUCGAG